UUUGAUUUCUGGAGAAAAAAAAUAAUUGGACCAAGUUUUGAAAUCGAUUUAUUUGAAAAAAAAACUAUAAAAAUGUUUUUUUUUAAAAAAAAUUUGCCCAGGAAUAAAAAAGGAAAAACUCAUACCAAAAAAACCAAUGGGCGGUAAAACAUAUUGGCUGAAGUUAUUUUUGAAAACACAUGAAAUGAUGAAAAGCAAGUAAUGUAUUGAAAUCUCAAUCAUUGAUGGAGCACCAUACAAACAUUAUCCAAACAAACGCAUCAUAAUAAUGUUAAGGUAUCGAUCAACAAAGGGGGAAAAACCACUGAAGGAGGAGGACAGAACGAAACUGAAGCUGCUAGACCUCAUAGUCAUUUAUAUAUAUAUCAUUUUCGUCGAUCUCUGUAUUUAGAAUAUGACAGGUGACUUGGCCACGGUAUGCGACACGAAUUGAAGCAACGUAGAACAACGACGCAGGGUAGCAUAAUGAAGGUGCAAUCGCUUUGAGACACAGUUUCUAUUAAUUUGCAUGUUGUUGUUCUAAAUAGAUAUAGAUAGUGGUGGGUGAAUGGUGAUGGGUCGUGGACUCACGGUGGUGGUGAAAGGUGGCGGUGGUGAGAUAGUACGUAAGAGAACAGUGCGUGAAAAAUUAAGAAUAGUGAGUUGAGACUAAUUAC
rnacentral:lncRNA from 1 species